GCUGGCGGCGUGCUUAACACAUGCAAGUCGAGCGAUGAAGCUUCCUUCGGGGAGUGGAUUAGCGGCGGACGGGUGAGUAACACGUGGGUAACCUGCCUCAAAGUGGGGGAUAGCCUUCCGAAAGGAAGAUUAAUACCGCAUAAUAUAAGAGAAUCGCAUGAUUUUCUUAUCAAAGAUUUAUUGUUUUGAGAUGGACCCGCGGCGCAUUAGCUAGUUGGUAAGGUAACGGCUUACCAAGGCAACGAUGCGUAGCCGACCUGAGAGGGUGAUCGGCCACAUUGGAACUGAGACACGGUCCAGACUCCUACGGGAGGCAGCAGUGGGGAAUAUUGCGCAAUGGGGGAAACCCUGACGCAGCAACGCCGCGUGGGUGAUGAAGGUCUUCGGAUUGUAAAGCCCUGUUUUCUAGGACGAUAAUGACGGUACUAGAGGAGGAAGCCACGGCUAACUACGUGCCAGCAGCCGCGGUAAUACGUAGGUGGCGAGCGUUGUCCGGAUUUACUGGGCGUAAAGGGUGCGUAGGCGGAUGUUUAAGUGGGAUGUGAAAUCCCCGGGCUUAACCUGGGGGCUGCAUUCCAAACUGGAUAUCUAGAGUGCAGGAGAGGAAAGCGGAAUUCCUAGUGUAGCGGUGAAAUGCGUAGAGAUUAGGAAGAACACCAGUGGCGAAGGCGGCUUUCUGGACUGUAACUGACGCUGAGGCACGAAAGCGUGGGUAGCAAACAGGAUUAGAUACCCUGGUAGUCCACGCCGUAAACGAUGGAUACUAGGUGUAGGGGGUAUCAACUCCCCCUGUGCCGCAGUUAACACAAUAAGUAUCCCGCCUGGGGAGUACGGUCGCAAGAUUAAAACUCAAAGGAAUUGACGGGGGCCCGCACAAGCAGCGGAGCAUGUGGUUUAAUUCGAAGCAACGCGAAGAACCUUACCUGGACUUGACAUCCCUUGCAUAGCCUAGAGAUAGGUGAAGCCCUUCGGGGCAAGGAGACAGGUGGUGCAUGGUUGUCGUCAGCUCGUGUCGUGAGAUGUUAGGUUAAGUCCUGCAACGAGCGCAACCCUUGUUAUUAGUUGCUACCAUUAAGUUGAGCACUCUAAUGAGACUGCCUGGGUAACCAGGAGGAAGGUGGGGAUGACGUCAAAUCAUCAUGCCCCUUAUGUCCAGGGCUACACACGUGCUACAAUGGUAGGUACAAUAAGACGCAAGACCGUGAGGUGGAGCAAAACUUAUAAAACCUAUCUCAGUUCGGAUUGUAGGCUGCAACUCGCCUACAUGAAGCUGGAGUUGCUAGUAAUCGCGAAUCAGAAUGUCGCGGUGAAUACGUUCCCGGGCCUUGUACACACCGCCCGUCACACCAUGAGAGCUGGUAACACCCGAAGUCCGUGAGGUAACCGUAAGGAGCCAGCGGCCGAAGGUGGGAUUAGUGAUUGGGGUGAAGUCGUAACAAGGU
rnacentral:rRNA from 1 species